rnacentral:rRNA from 1 species
GACGAACGCUGGCGGCGUGCCUAAUACAUGCAAGUCGAGCGCAGGAAGUCAUCCGACCCCUUCGGGGGGACGUUGACGGAAUGAGCGGCGGACGGGUGAGUAACACGUAAAGAUCCUGCCCUCAGGUCUGGGAUAACCACGAGAAAUCGGGGCUAAUACCGUAUGGGUCAUCGGACCGCAUGUUCCGAGGUUGCAAGGCGCUCCGGCCCCGUCUGGGGUUGGCUUUGCGGUGCAUUAGCUAGUUGGUGGGGUAAUGGCCCACCAAGGCGACGAUGCAUAGCCGACCUGAGAGGGUGAUCGGCCACACUGGGACUGAGACACGGCCCAGACUCCUACGGGAGGCAGCAGUAGGGAAUCUUCCACAAUGGGCGAAAGUCUGAUGGAGCAACGCCGCGUGAACGAUGAAGGCCCUCGGGUCGUAAAGUUCUGUUGUAAGGGAAGAACAAGUGCCGCAGGCAAUGGCGGCACCUUGACGGUACCUUGCGAGAAAGCCACGGCUAACUACGUG